CGGCCCACUAAUUACCUCCCCGACCUCUGCUGAGCGUCUCCCGCUGGUUCCGCAGGGUGCGAGCGCCAUCCAGUGGCGGCCUGGCAGCGAUCUACAGCUUCGUUAUUAGGAACUUAAAGUAAAAUCCGGCUGUUCUAACCUUCCUAGAGUUCCCCAAGUUCAGAAGAAAGGAUGGUCCUGCGACCCUCCCCGCCCACCGGGGAGCAAAAUAGUCCGGGACCCUCCUACCCCGCCUUAGAACUGAGCCACUGAGGUACAUAAAAGAAAACUUGAAAUCGUCGAAAGGUAUACCCUGUUUGUGGAUAGGAGAUAUCAAGGUUGAAAAGUUCACAGUGUCCAAAGCAAUGAAAACAAUUUAUUUGAAAACUCACAACAAGACAUGGCAUCAAGAAAUUUCAUAUCAACUGUAUAUGCAGAUUGUAAACGCUUCCAGAAAAGAAAUAUAAUCAACUAUAAAAACUCAAGAAUCAGAAUGGUUAUUCUGGUUGCUAGAAGACAGUGGAGCAAUGCCUUCAAAAUUCUGUGGAAAUAAAUAUUUUCAACUCAGAAUUUCCAGCCAAACUAGUAAUUUAGUGAAGAGGUGGAAUAGAGACAUUUUCAGACAUGAGAAGACUCAAGAAGUUUGUCUCUCAUUCUUUCAUAAGAAGCUACAGGGGGACCAGUCCCGGCAAAAUCAGAAAGUAAAUCGAGACCAAGGAGUUCAUGGGAUCCAGAAAAUCAGAGAAUUAACCCAGGAGAGCAGCAAACAGAAGUCCCAGGAUAAUAGUUGUACAGAUGUGAGGACUGGAGGUGCAGCAGCUAUUUAGCAACCACGUGGUGACCAAUAAGGUGAUGAAGACUGCAUGGUAAGGAAGCAGAAAAAUGGAGAAAACCUGGUUCCCUGAUGGCAUCACUGAGCUCGUGAACUGCCUACCUCCAGACUUCAUGUUUGUUAAAAGACAACUUUCAAAAUAAGGUUCCCUGUUGGCUCUGUUGAUUGUUUCCUUUGCUGCACAGAAGCUUUUUAGUUUGAUGUCAUCCCGUUUAUUUUUACUUUUGUUGUCUGUGCUUUUGGUGUCUUAUCCAAAAAAUCAUUGCCAAGACCAAGCUUUUUCCUUGUGUUUUCUUCUAAGAGUUUUAAGGUUUCAGGUCUUAUAUUUUAAUCUAAUCUAUUUUUAGUUUAUUUUUUAUAUGAUUUGAGAUAAAGGUUCAAUUUCAUUCAUGGUUGUUAGGAAUGUAAAUUGAUACAGCCAUUAUGGAAAACAGUAUGGAACAUCCUCAAAAAUUAAAAAUAGAGCUACCAUAUGAUCUAGCAAUCCCACUUCUGG
rnacentral:lncRNA from 1 species